ensembl:piRNA 21ur-3073 ncRNA
AUGCCUCUUCAAAAAAUGACA